GGGGGGGGGGGGGGGGGGGGGGGGGGAAGCGAAAAGAUGUAGGAGAUGGGAGAUGGGCUCGGCCGCUGGACUGGAGGAGAGCAAGCUCGGUCCCAGGAGGGCUGCGAGGGAAGGAGGCGGCUCUCGGGCGCUGUGCCGGGGUGAUGCUCGCACGCAGGACUCCUCGGGUGCGGGGGAGCCUUUGGGGGACCCUUCGGGCUGAUCCGGCUGCCAGGCGUGCAAAGUAUGAAGACAAGUGCUGAGGAGCCUUUUCCACAUGGAUCUGAGGCGAAUAGUUAAACACAAACCUCAACUGUGCUGUUGCCAACACUCUCCUUCCAUCUUAUUAGAGUGGGAGAUAGACAGAAAUAUCAAUUGCAAGGCACAUGGGAAAUCCUUUUUCCACCCAUCAUUGAUCAAACCACAGCUGGAGCAUUCUGCCUGGUUUUGGAUAUCAUACUUCAAGAGCAACGUGGCAUGCUUGGAGAGCAUCCAGCGCAGAACGUGUUCUUCCUUGUAAAGAACAUAACCUAUGAAGAAAAAGACCUUUUAUAGAAGACAUUUUGCUUUUUAUGACGUUUGUUUACCAUUUCUUACCAAAAUCAGAUUGUGCUGUGGAUAGCAAAGGGGCAACUCAUUGGUGUGUCAGACAGGGAUUUCCUUUCCUCUGCCUACAGAGCCCACCGCUCUUGAGUCUUGGCACUCUGUGUCCUGAGCACCCUGAAUGGAUCAUUCAUUCACACUCAUUCAGCAGAGUUUUUAUCAGCCUUCUAUUUCUGCAGAGUUACUUCCUUCCAGAUACACCAAGGUAACAGUGCUUAAGAUUAAACACUGUUCUGAUGGUAAUUCAGGAGAGACAAACUUAAAGAUUUCACUAUUUUUCUUGAUAUUACCAUGAGUUUGAAAUAGUGAAUCAUUAGAGGAUCCCUCCUGCUCACUCAGCCAAAUGCUUAUUACUGGCUGCAUGGAGCCUGCUCUGUAGCAAGGAAACCCAAUUGGAUGGGAAGCACUCCACACUGAGGUGCUGCAAAGAGGCAGUGCUGCUUCUUAGCACCUCAAAUUGGUUUUGUCGUGUACAAUCAUAACACAAGCUGGAUAUUGAAAAUCUGUGGUUCAGUAAUUUGAGCACUCCUCGGAAGUGACACAAAUAAUGCAAAACACUUUCCAUGAAGUCUACUUUAAUGAUGAGAAUAUCGCUUAUUUUCAGCACAAAGUUACAUCUGUUUUAUCUGCAGCAAUGAGCAAAGUGAACUUUAAUUAUUCAACUUUGCAACUACUCAGUGACCCUGGCUCAGCAAUGAGGUCUUCCUAUUCGCAUGCAUUUCACAUUUGAAAAAAAGAAAUGCUAUUUGUAAAAGACUAAGACAUGGAGUACAGUAGACGCUACCUUCAUAUGUUAGAAUGCUCUACAGCAUGGAGACUGAGAAUUAAAAAGGAAAGAGUUAUAGUGUAAUGUCACAGCCCCCCACCUCCCAAAGCUGAUAAAAUUCUAGUGUGAGAAAUGACUUGUAUUGUAACAUAUAACCAGCCUCUGUCAUGAUCUGUAUAUUUAUUUCUGCGCUGGCUGUUAAGAGAGCAUGGCACAAAUGAAGUGGUCUUAACUAGAUACACUUAUAAAACUAAAAGCACUCACUGCAUGAGAAAUAGGCAUCACAAAUGCUUUUCAGGAGCUUGUUUCAUAGACUCCUUCCUCCAAGUAUGUCUUUGCAUGUGAAUGGUUGGCAUGUGCAAGCAUAAGAAGUCUGAGUGUGGAUGGUUUUAAUGGUCCUGGUGGCUUUUUGGUGUGUUUUUCUAGCUUUCUCCCUUCCUUUAUGUGUGUGGCUGUUCAUAUGGAGGAGGCAGGGAGAUGGAACACAUAAUGAGCGUCAUGUUUGUUAGGUGCUCACUCCUUUAUGUUUUUUCCAUCUCAGAAGCUCGUAUUUGCUAUUUUAAGUGUCAGGAGCUUGCAAAGGAUGUAGACAUGACAUGUAGAAGAGUUGGUCUGGGCCAUGCCCCACUGGGUUGAGGAGGCAUUGUCCUGUGAGAACCACCACCUAGCCCAACAGUGAUGUGGCCUGAGGGCCUGCUCUGUUUCUCUGCGGGCAUGAUUGGACAGUGGGCUCUGGGCUGCCUGCGCUGCUAAUGUGCAGCAAACUGCAUGCAACAGAAGAAAGCAACCUGCUGAAAAUGACAUCUGGCUGAGCCAAGUUAAAGCAGUAUCACUGGCCAUCAAAGUUCAGCCUCGCAGCUGCUUUCUCUUCUCCUCAUGAAGUGCAGCAAAUGUAACUCAACGUGGCAGCUCUGUAAGGCAGAGAGAGAAGGGGCAGUCAAAGCUGUUUAUGGAUCGGACCUGCUCCAUUCACAGUUUGUCCACGCAGCAAAUGGCACUGAAUUAUUCAAAUCUUUUUGGAGUUAAUUUGUACUGGGUGACUGGUGUAUUGAUGUAACUGAAGUGGUUCUUGUUCUGUGAAAUGGAGAGGAAAAAAAACACAGCAAUGCUAGCAGCAAACUAUAACAUGCUUUGCCAGUGCCUCUGUCAGCUUCUCAAAGGCCUAAACUACUUGAUUUGUUGAGCAGCCCGAGAGGAAGAUAAAUGCUCAUUUUACAGGGGGGGAAGUUAGGGUUGUUGAAGUACUAAAGCAUUGGUUACUAAAGCAACCUUCUCCAAGUCUUUUCUUCUACUAAUCCAUCAGAACUGUGAUGAAAAUCCUGAGCAUUCUGGUCCUCAACUUAUUUUUUAGCCAUAAUUUUCAUACCUGAUUUAGAAGUGCUUACAACUACGCGGUCCACUCUAGAGCCUGGCACCCGAAGUUCCGUGUGAAUAGGAAAGCAAAGAUGAAACAAAGCUCUGAGAAAGAACCCAAGUCUCAGAAGUUCUGAAUGCAAUUCAGGUGAACAUUUUGAAACUGUAAGAGACAGAUACAAACAUGACUGACAGGCUUCCAGUAUUCCUGACCCAUUCAAACAAAAAUAAGGACCUAAUCAUAAAAUCCGCUUUCCCCAUCUAGCUGUGGGUACACAUUCAAGGCAUUCACAGGAACUUUUUCCUUGUUAACCUGGCCUCACCCAGAUGUUUCACACUGGCACUCUCUCUCCGUACUGAGUCCCUGCUUCACGCCAUGCUGAUCAAAGCUGCACAUAGAGCUCUGGAAUAGGUUCCUUAGGGAGGUGGUAGAGUCACCAUCCCUGGAUGUGUUUAAAAACUGUUUGGAUGUGGUGCUCAGGGACAUGAUUUAGUGGCGAGUUGUUAGUUAGGGUAGUAUGGUUUGGUCAUGGUUGGACAUGAUCUUAAGUUCUUUUCCAACCUGAGUGAUUCUGUAAUUCUAUGAUUAAGAGGGGCCUGACCUGACUUCUGUGCUGUAGGAUUGUCAGACUACUUUGAUGCACAGUGCAAUGCAUAAGUAUGAGCCCUACUUUUUUUCUGGUAUUUGUACAUUGAUAGUUCAGAGAAAAUCUCCCUUCAUAAUGCCUGUCCCAGCCCAAUUGCCAACUGACGUGUACCCCAAGCCCCAAGAUUCAAGGGGAUCAUUAAAUGAAUUUUUCAACAGGAUCCAUUACUGACAUAUCUGCAAAGUUUUAAACUACAAGUGUAAGGGCAGUGAGAAUUUUUAUGCUGCUUUUGAAUUUCCAGUAUUGGCUUAAACUCUGAGAAAAGGAUAGGUAGUAAUUAUUUUGCAGUGCAUCUGACCCACUUGUGCUUGUGAAGCCUAGGAAAAUCACUUGGCUCAAUAGCAAAGUCACUGACUGUGCAUUGCACAUAAUUCUUAUUAAGAAAAAAGAAAAUAUCACAAGUGGCAGCCCAUUAAGUAUGGCUCCACAACAAGCUUGUUUUCCUUAUAAUUAGAAAAUAAGCACAGAAAUACUCUUCUGUAGGUCUUCUCUUAGCAGAGUAGACUUUUUUUGCAGGAACCUGAAAGCAACAGUGUUUUCUGCAAGCGGUAUCUUACUAUGCUGUAGCUUCUGUGUGCUUGAUUGUAGUGUAGGUGGGAACUCCUACCAGCAAUAAACCAAAAGCAAUAAAUGUCCACCCAUAAACUGUUGCCAUGAUUUCAUCUCCACCUGGGGAAUAUUAACUCUCAAUACAAAAUCAUCAAAGUGAAGAUAACUUCAUAGUUCUUGGCUCUUCCGUUAGCUGGGGCUCAAAUGAAACUAGAGUUUGAGACCAGAGUACACAGCCAAGAACAGUCAGCCUCACUCCUAAUUCUACUUUCUUGUCUUAAGUUCAGGUCUAUUAAAAAGAUUUUGGAUUUCUUUUCCUUUUUGUGAGGGCACACCUCAGUGUGAUCAGGUUACUUCUCAAUUUUCUCUUUGAUAAAGCUAUAGACACUCAGGCUUUGAAAGGUUUGUCAAGGCCCCAUAUUUGCUCUUUUCAGUUCUGGACUUUUUCUGUUUGUUUCCCAUGUUAUCUGAUUUACAGCAGCAGCAGCAGCAAUGGCGCGCAAUAUUCCAGUGCCCCAUUUAGCAGAAAAAUCCUUUCUCCUCGCAAGCUGCCAGUUCACGCACCAUGUGCUUCGACAGGGCACCAGGAUUUCCUGCUGAGUUGCUUAUUUCCUGGGAUCCUCACAUCUUCUUCCAUUCUGCUAUUUUCCAGGAUGUGACUGCCCAUUCUGUAGCUCUGAACCCUUUCUUUUGCCUUGGGUAUGUAUUCAGCAAAUCAAGUAAAACUCUAUAAUACAAUGAGCAUUUACAGUCUAGUUAACAAAUAAGCAUUCUCCAGUCUCUUGAGUUUAGUAGCUCUAAAUAUCAAAGAGCUACAAAAUCUCUUCCUUUACUUUCAAAAAAAUUGGAUUUAUAUUCAUCAGCACUGAGAUUAAAAAUUUAGUCUGCAAAAAAAAGGCUGGAAAAAAAGAACAAACAAAUUACUGAAUGAACUGCAAGGCAUCAACCAGAAAGACAAAAAUAUGCCUGAAGAGAUCUAGCUUCAUUAAUAAGUGAACAACAGAUGAUGGAGUAAUUACUAUUUCAGUAUCAAAGGGUCUCAGUCACUUUGAGGAGAGAAGUGAAACAAGGCUACAUGCUGUAAGUAGGAAAGUAACCAGCAGCACAAUCACCGCCAGAAUCUGAUCUUGAUAAGUUAGCUUUACUUAGAAAUCCUGUCUACACACAGAAAAUACAAGGCUACAAAUUAAUAAAACAAGUACAAUCAAAGCCUAUUUAUACUUUAGAAUAAAACUCAAUGAAAAUAUUUGCCUUCAGAGACCACAGACAUAUUGAAUUCGAUGUAAAAUUCCCAAUUUAAAUGAUAUGAAAGACCUUUGUCUCCAGUCACAGUGGAUCCAACCAGUACUUGAUAAAUUUGAGCUGCCCGUUUGAUCAAUGGUUUCCUUGGUAGAAAACACUUCCAGAAAUCCAGGGAGGUGGGAGAAAGGUCGGGGGGAGAAGACCGUGAUUCUGCAAAUGCAUUUGUGUGUCCACAGUUGUGAAAUCAUAAGUUGUCCCAUUGACUUUAAAGGGCGGGCUGUAGGUUCACUGGCAAGGCAGGAGCCUGAUGUCAUAAAUCCCAUGGGGCUAGAGGGAUCCAUCUGGGCUCUGCUCACAGAAAGUCUUAGAGUCCUAGGGCACUAAAAUAAAUGGACCGAUCGUUGUUCUUCUCUGUACAAUAGGACUACGGAGGAACAUCCACUGGAGACGGUAAAAAAAAGGUGGAAGCAAGAGAAAUCAGUGGAAGCUUUUCAACUGGAACAGAAAUCAGAGGUCUCAUUUGCUCGAAGAUGUUCAAAAGGAACAGAGCUGCUGGCGUGCUGACAGCUCCCACAUCACACAGACAGGAACAGCACUAUCAAUGCAGGCCUUCUUCUGGAUCAGCUUCAGGCUCUUUCCCACCCUUCCACCUGCACUGCUGACAGAAACAGCGGCUGAUGCCUCUAUACGGCUGCUGAUGCUUCAGACACUCUGGUCUGAAGCCCAGCACAGUUUCUCUUCGCCAGGGAAAGCCCCAUCAGCGGCACACGUUUAAUAGAGGUGCUGCCGGCAGCCCACCCGCCGCGCUGUGACUGCAGGCAGGAGCAGGGUUGGCAGCUCUGCCAGGACACAGACAGGGCUGUGGGCAGCUCACCAGCAGCUUACACAGCUCUUGCCCAGCCUGCGCUGGUGCAGGCAAGCUCCCUGCACAAUGAGAGAGCCCGGGGCAAUAGGCAAACACAUUUCUCUUCUCUUUGGGAGAAAACAGAAUACUGUGAUGUAAUUAAAUUUGCCAGGCUCUACUGCAGCAUGGUGGUGCAGAUGACAGGAUACAGAUAUAUAUUUCUGGGCAGCCUACUCUUACGUUAAAGCACUGAAAGGUUGAUUUUCUUUGUUUGCUUUACAAAUAGCCUCGGUCCUGCCUAGUCCAAAAGGGAGCGUUACUGAAGGACAGCUUACAAACAUUUUUUUCUGCACUAAAAGGAGGAUGCAGUUUUUAACACUAAUAAAUAUAGAAAUGUAACUUCUCUCCAGACCUGAGCUAACAGAGGUCUUGCUUUCCUGACUUGGAAAACCAACCAAUCAAACAACAACACACAAAACAAACAACAGCUACCACAGCAGCUGAAGCAAAUAGAAGGUCUAUGAAAGUGGAGUUAUUACUUAUUGCAAAGGAUUUUUAUUCAGACUAUCAUGACUUGCUCCCACUGAUCCCAAUAGAAGUUGUUUGUCUGUAAGGAGAGCUGUACCAACUGAUUUUCAUAGAACACAGAAUCACAGCAUCACCAAGGUUAGAAAAGACCUCCAAGAUCAUCCAACCCAACCAUCCACCUACCGCCAAUACUUCCCCACUAAACCAUAGAAUCAUAGAAUCAUUUUCACAUGGUUGUUCUAUUUAAAUAUGCUUCCUCAGUUUCCCAAGGCACAGAGGAGGACAAGGUGCAACAUUUGCCUUUGAGCUACCAGACACACUGUUUGGAGUACUGUGGCUAUGCAUUACAAAGUGGCCACAAAGCUGCAAGUAGCUCAUUUCAGAUCGUGCCUCUGAUCACCUGGGAAAUCGGCUUUUAUUGUUGUAUGCUCAGAUUCCAUCAUGAUCCAAGUCCCUGGGCUGAUCAGUGCAAAUAGCUGCUGAAUACAUGUAUAACCUCUUCUGAUUAUUAUGCAGCUGUACUUGUGCAGUAGCUUUCCUCCAUUUACGUUGUCAUUACCUGUUUAAUGUUCCUCUGUCUCUCUCUUUUAAAAAGGAAAUCUUUUUUACCUCAAUCAGUUUUUCUUCAAACUCCUUCCUCCCCCACCCCUAUCAGGCUCAUGCUUCUCCAUCAGCCCAUAAUGCUCCUUUGCUAGGGUGGCUUAUCCUUCAUCACCUGCUGUCCCUCUCCCACUUGUGCUCGGACAUCUCUGUGGCAGGACAUGAGAGCUUCUGCCACCCUCACUGGCCUGUAGUUACUGGCAGGAGGAUGAGAGGAGCUGUGAUGGUGACACAAAGGCAGAACGAGCCCCAGCUGGGUGAAUGGGGAGAGACUGGGAAACACACUCCUGUUUGCACCACACCAUGGAGGUUGUGCUGCCGUGGGAUUCUCUAGGCUUUUAGCCUGAGAACUUUUAGCAGAUAAGAGUGCACUGCAUGUGAUUUUGGAUAACCCUGAAAGGUAUUGUUUGUGUAAUGGUGGAGAGAUUGGAAAACAUGAUAUAUUUGUUGGCAUGUUCACACAUAUUCACUCAGGAGGGUGGUGACGCACUGGAACAGGUUGCCCAAGGAGGCUGUGGAUGCCCCAUCCCUGGAGGCAUUCAAGGCCAGGCUGGAUGUGGCUCUGGGCAACCUGGUCUGCUAGUUGGUGACCCUGCACAUAGCAGGGGUGGAAGCUAGAUAGAUGAUCAUUGUGGUCUCUUUAAACCUAGGCUAUCCAAUGAUUCCGUGAUAUGGCUAGGAGGCACUUCAGUAAUUACAGAUAUCAUCCAGGACACUUCUGAGAGCAGUGACAAUGAGACUGGAGGAGAAUAACUCAAAAGGAGCAUAGGCUGGACUGCCUGAGCUCACCUUGUAGCAUUUUCACUGUUUCAGACCAUCACAUCUUGGACAGGGGCAGGGCUCCACACCACAAACAUGCUUCAGCUUGAUGGUCAAAGAAGAUUUCUUGGUAGUUGAUGAAGUGUUCUCCAGUUCAGACUCAGAGAAGCAGGUUCUGUGCUGACUUCCACCUCCUUUCAGCUUUAUAACCUUGUUCUUCAGCACCAGACCAGCUGAGUUUCACCCUUUUCAAUAUCCCAAACUUUUCACUCUCCCAAACAUCUCAAAGUAGUUACACCCUAUUGGAAAAACAAACAUUAGCUUUUCUUGUCUGCUAAUUACCGCAGUCUAAAGAUGCUGGCUACCCAGAAUUUAGCUCCUGCUUCCAAUGAUCUGUCAUUAAAUUCCUGUUCUCCUUGCAGAGCCCAGCAAGCCCUCUGCAGCAGCACCGGUUCACUCAGCACACAGCCAAGGACAGCCAGGAAGGUUAAUGGCGUUUCACACUUCCUCCGGUUCUGUCUCUGGCACUGUGGGAUUCCUGCAGCCGCUCACACCAUUCGUUCUUGUGCCAAAAGCGCUCUUUAGCUUAGCUUAAAUAGCCCUUUCCCCCUUCCUGCUACUAACUCUUCUGAAUUACUUAUGAAGGGAGAUCAUACAAGCUCCCAGUCUUUUGCUGAGCUAAUUACUCUUCUAUGUAUUCCCCCAAAAGAGAGUGGCUGCCCUGGCCGUCACCUUUAUAUCUGUUCCAAGCUAAUCAAGUCCUUCCAGACUCAUAGCCACUUCUGUAACAUGGAGAUGAGAUCCCUCCAGAGAUCUCUGUGACAGCAGUAAUAAUAAUCUUUGAUCUCUGUAGGAAGUACUUUGCCUAACAGAUUUUUAGUCACUUGUUUUUAUUUCUCAGGUAACACUUCUCAGUGGUCAUUGUCAUCUUGUGAAUAAUAAAGCCAAGACACUCCUCUCAGUUAUUCACAGCUGAUGAACAUAAAGAAAUUUCCAUGAUUAAUCCCAAAGUAAGGAGACUAUUACUUUACUAUUAAAUACAUUUUCAUUUCAACCUAGAACUUGGCUGAGAGCUGAGUCUGCCUCUCCUCAGCUCAAAAUACAUGUGGCGAAAUGAGCUUGCUGCCUGUCUGUGCUACAACUGCCUUCCUUUCUAUGGACAGAAGAGAAGGGUCAGUGGUUUUACCUGGGUACCAGAAAAUUAAUUCCAUAUUCUAUGAAGAAUCUUCCUUUCAGAUGCCAACUGAGAGGUCAGUGUAAGCACCCACAUUUCUAAAGCACCAGAUUAGGUGAUGGGAGGGUAGGCUACCUGCUGGAUAGGCUUUUACACUAACUAUACAUUUUGUAAAUGGAAAAGAGAGGUGGGUGCCAAGCGCUGCCAUAAAUUUUUCUGCUGCUGGCUUUCUUUACUCUGUCUUUACUAUAAUUAAAUCCUAGCUAUCAUUAAUAUUUUGCAAUAACUGGGUGCAAGAUUUGUUCCUUUAUUGUCUGCAACCUACAAAAACAUUUUGUGCAUUUUUGUGUUUUGUUCUCUCUAAAAACUGAUGCCUUUCCCCACUCCAUUUCAAGUGCCUAGCAGCUCAUUUUGGGUUAUUGUCUCCUUAGUCUCCCCCAUGUUAUUCCAAAGUUGACAUGAUGACAAAAGCCACUCAAGGAUGGCAGCUAAUAAGGCAUCUGCUUUCCUCUAGUGAGGGUGUAGGGAGGUCUGUAAGGCAGCAGUCAGAUGCGUACUGGUAAUAGGAUGCGCUACCUUUCAACUCUGGGUCACUGCUUCACCUCUGAUCCUGUCAAAAGUGGCCAGAAGUUGUUAUCUGGAUGUAAAUCAUGAAUCUAGGAAAAGGAGUUGAUGCUCUUUCUUGAAACCCUGCUGACAAGCAUUCACACUGCAAUUAGCCAAAGUAGGCAGGAUAGACUGCAACAAGGUCCAGCAGGUCAGGGGCAAGGAUGCUUACAAGGCCAAGGGCUGUGUAGGACCACCAGUGGCUGAAUUCACAUGGGUCUGGGGAACCACCAUUCUACAGGCACAAGAUGCAUUUUGAUAUAAAUAGAAAUAGGGGUAAAGUGCAGUGAAUCUAUACAAGAUUUGGAUUCCCUGUUGUUUCUAGAGUACCAUAAAUAAGAGAAAAAGAUGCCCAUUUGGUAGAGUAUACUUCAAGUAAGACUGGACUAAAGAAACACUAAGAUUAAAAAAACAUAAUUUUCAGUUGUUACGGAGUCAGAACAUUUAAAGAGUUUCAUGGUUCUUUUAGUGUGCAAUGUGGACAGCUCUGGGCUUUGUACUGAUUUUGGCUGCUUUGUGUUUUGGCCAUACAUAAAUCACACCAGAACUGCCAGCCAGCUGUGCCACACUUGCAAUAUAAACAUUACAAAUUUCCUUUGUAGUUUCUCUCCGUAUCUUAAGGACUAUGUAAGAUUUAAGUCUGCAGUUUUUUUUAACUAGAGCCAUUAAUCAGUGAAAUGUGCAAUGCUAUCAGGUGGUUUGUGUUAGCCAGUUUCACUACAUGUAAUUACCAGUGUUCUUCUUAAUUUCAAGUUGUCACUGUCGCCAUAUUAUGCAUAUAGAUCACUGUAUUUGUUUGUAGUCUUUAUGGAUGUCAAAACGUAACAAAAACUUAAUCCCAAUGAAAGAUACAUUGAGGAGCUCCAUUUGUGCUGAUUAAAUCAUACAUUAACCCGAAAGAACAGGUCUGACAUCACUCUCAGGUAGUUAAGGAUUAUGCUUCAUAAUGUCUCUAAAUAUUAUCUUGGAAAUGGCCAUGUCGGAAGGCCUAGAAACUCCUCAGAGCUUACGCUUUUUUAUUUUCAAGCAUCCAAUGUCAGUACAUGAUCAGAGAGAGACACAGAAAUAUGAAUUAGUUAAAUGACCCACUAGAGGUUGAAAAAAAAAAAGAGAGAGGGCUAAAAUCUGCAUUUCUUUAGUCA